CAAACACUGUUCUAGGAGAAUUUGCCAAAUGCAGUAGUGCCCAACUGUUUACAGAGACCAGGGUGGCUGACGGUCCUGGUCACUGAUGACCUCGAUAACUGGACAGGGCACCUUCCUGCGAUCCAGGUAGACUCGCUCCAGCAGAGGCUCCAGCCAGCCCACGUUGCAUUCAACGUGCGAGUCGAGGAAGCUUUUCAUGAUCAUGCUCUGCGGAACGCCCUGCAGACAUGCAAGCCCGCGCUCCUUCCCUGCCGCACGGUUACUGACCGGGCCGCCACCUCCUGCACGCGCGGACAAAAACAGCAUGAGAUGGGG